AAAUAAAUUAAUUUUUUUUAUAUAAAUUUAAUUAAUAUUAUAAAAAUAUAAAUAAAAUUUAUUAAUUAAAUAAUAAUUUAAAUAAUUUUUAAUAUUUAUAUUAUUAUUAUUUAGUUUUUUAUUAAUUAUUAAAUGAAAAUUUACUUAAGAUAAAUAUUAAAAUUAUUAAUAUAUAAAGGUGCCAGCAAUUGCGGUUAAACUUUUAAUAAAAUUGAAUUUUUUAUAAAUUAAAUAAAUUAUUUAAUUUAAGAUUAAAAAUUUAAAAAUUUUAUUUUAUGGUGAAAUAUAAAUUAAAUGUAAAUUAAUUUAAGGUCUUUAAAAUUUAUAAUUUGUAAGAAAUUAAAAAAUUAAAUUAGGAUUAGAUACCCUAUUAUAAAAUUAAAAUUAGUGUAAAUUAAAUAAUAAAUGUAAAAUCAUUAAAAAAUAAAAAAUUUGACGGUAUUUUAAUAUAUCAGAGGAAUUUGUUAAUUAAUUUGAUACGCCACGAAUGGAUAUAUUUAAUUUUAUUUUAUAUAUUGUUGUUGAAAAAUUAUACUAAUAGGUAGAAAUUUAGUUAUUAUUAUAAAUGUUAAUUCAAAUCAAAAUGUAGAUUGGUUAAGAUAAUUUAAUGAAUUACAAUUAAUUUUAAUUAAUGGAAGGUAAGAUUUUAAUAUUUAUAGAAAUUGAAUUUGAAUGUAAAUUUAUAAAAAUUUAUAAAUUGGAUUUUAUUUAAAAUAUGUACAAAUUGCCCGUCAUUUUCAUUUAAAUUAUGGAAGAAGUCGUAACAAAGUAAAUGUACUGGAAAGUGUAUUUAGAUGUAU
rnacentral:ncRNA from 1 species